AAACCUGUUCGUAGUUCGGAUUGAGGGCUGUAACUCGCCCUCAUGAAGCUGGAUUAGGUAGUAAUCGCGUCUCAAAAAGGCGCGGUGAAUAUGCCCCUGCUCCUUGCACACACCGCCCGUCAAACCAUCUUAGU
rnacentral:rRNA from 1 species